rnacentral:rRNA from 1 species
GACGAACGCUGGCGGCGUGCUUAACACAUGCAAGUCGAACGGUAAGGCCCCUUCGGGGGUACACGAGUGGCGCACGGGUGAGUAACACGUGGGUGAUCUGCCCUGCACUUCGGGAUAAGCCUGGGAAACUGGGUCUAAUACCGGAUAGGACCACGCUCUGCAUGGAGUGUGGUGGAAAGCUUUUGCGGUGUGGGAUGGGCCCGCGGCCUAUCAGCUUGUUGGUGGGGUGAUGGCCUACCAAGGCGACGACGGGUAGCCGGCCUGAGAGGGUGGCCGGCCACACUGGGACUGAGAUACGGCCCAGACGCCUACGGGAGGCAGAAGUGGGGAAUAUUGCACAAUGGGCGCAAGCCUGAUGCAGCGACGCCGCGUGGGGGAUGACGGCCUUCGGGUUGUAAACCUCUUUCAGUACCGACGAAGCGCAAGUGACGGUAGGUACAGAAGAAGCACCGGCCAACUACGUG